rnacentral:rRNA from 1 species
UACGGAGGGUGCAAGCGUUAUCCGGAUUCACUGGGUUUAAAGGGUGCGUAGGUGGGUAAGUAAGUCAGUGGUGAAAUCUCCGGGCUUAACCCGGAAACUGCCAUUGAUACUAUAUAUCUUGAAUGCUGUGGAGGUAAGCAGAAUAUGUCAUGUAGCGGUGAAAUGCUUAGAGAUGACAUAGAAUACCUAUUGCGAAGGCAGCUUACUACGCAGAUAUUGACGCUCAUGCACGAAAGCGUGGGGAUCAAACAGG